UACGUAGGGUGCAAGCGUUGUCCGGAAUUAUUGGGCGUAAAGAGCUCGUAGGCGGUUUGUUGCGUCGGCUGUGAAAACCUGAGGCUCAACCUCAGGCCUGCAGUCGAUACGAGCAGACUAGAGUGUUGCAGGGGAGACUGGAAUUCCUGGUGUAGCGGUGAAAUGCGCAGAUAUCAGGAGGAACACCGAUGGCGAAGGCGGGUCUCUGGGCCGAUACUGACGCUGAGGAGCGAAAGCGUGGGGAGCGAACAGG
rnacentral:rRNA from 1 species